AGCUUCCUGAAUUCGUGCAGUGAUUUCGUCACACAUCAAUUCAUUAGGGCUGACCAGACUUCCAAGAUAAAUAAAGUU
rfam:Schistosoma rodhaini strain Burundi genome assembly, scaffold: SROB_scaffold0009002